rnacentral:rRNA from 1 species
CCCUUAGAUGUCCUGGGCCGCACGCGCGUUACACUGAUGCAUUCAACGAGUUUUACCUUGGCCGAGAGGCCUGGGCAAUCUUUUAAACCUGCAUCGUGAUAGGGAUAGAUUAUUGCAAUUAUUAAUCUUGAACGAGGAAUUCCUAGUAAACGCAAAUCAUCAAUUUGCAUUGAUUACGUCCCUGCCCUUUGUACACACCGCCCGUCGCACCUACCGAUUGAAUGGUCCGGUGAAGCCUCGGGAUUGUGGCCAGUUCACUUUAUUGGGAGUUGGCUGUGAGAACUUGUCUAAACCUUAUCAUUUAGAGGAAGGUGAAGUCGUAACA